UACGAAAGGUGCGAGCGUUAAUCGGAAUUACUGGGCGUAAAGCGCGCGUAGGCGGUGUGUUAAGUCGGAUGUGAAAGCCCAGGGCUCAACCUUGGAAUUGCAUCCGAUACUGGCACGCUAGAGUGCAGUAGAGGGAGGUGGAAUUUCCGGUGUAGCGGUGAAAUGCGUAGAGAUCGGAAGGAACACCAGUGGCGAAGGCGGCCUCCUGGACUGACACUGACGCUGAGGUGCGAAAGCGUGGGGAGCAAACAGG
rnacentral:rRNA from 1 species